UUAGUAUGCUGUGCUAUUUUAGACAGAGUUUCAAAGUCAAGCAGGGUCAGCCCUGGUUAGUACUCAGAAGAAAGACCACCUGAGAAGCCAUAGGCUGCAGGCUAGA
rnacentral:rRNA from 1 species